UACAGAGGGUGCAAGCGUUAAUCGGAAUUACUGGGCGUAAAGGGUGUGUAGGUGGUUAAUUAAGUUGUAUGUGAAAACCCUGGGCUUAACCUAGGAAUUGCAUAUAAAACUGAUUAGCUAGAGUGCGGUAGAGGGAAGUGGAAUUUCCGGUGUAGCGGUGAAAUGCGUAGAUAUCGGGAGGAACACCGGUGGCGAAGGCGGCGACCUGGGUAGAUACUGACGCUGAGGCGCGAAAGCGUGGGGAGCAAACAGG
rnacentral:rRNA from 1 species